rnacentral:rRNA from 1 species
AACGAACGCUGGCGGCAGGCCUAACACAUGCAAGUCGAGCGAAGCCUUCGGGCUUAGCGGCGGACGGGUGAGUAACGCGUGGGAACGUGCCCUUUGGUACGGAAUAGCCCCGGGAAACUGGGAGUAAUACCGUAUGUGGCCGAGAGACGAAAGAUUUAUCGCCAAAGGAUCGGCCCGCGUUGGAUUAGGUAGUUGGUGGGGUAAUGGCCUACCAAGCCGACGAUCCAUAGCUGGUUUGAGAGGAUGAUCAGCCACACUGGGACUGAGACACGGCCCAGACUCCUACGGGAGGCAGCAGUGGGGAAUCUUGGACAAUGGGGGGAACCCUGAUCCAGCCAUGCCGCGUGAGCGAUGAAGGCCUUAGGGUUGUAAAGCUCUUUCAGCUGGGAAGAUAAUGACGGUACCAGCAGAAGAAGCCCCGGCUAACUCCGUGCCAGCAGCCGCAGUAACAC